rnacentral:rRNA from 1 species
GACGAACGCUGGCGGCGUGCUUAACACAUGCAAGUCGAACGGAAAGGCCCUGCUUUUGUGGGGUGCUCGAGUGGCGAACGGGUGAGUAACACGUGAGUAACCUGCCCUUGACUUUGGGAUAACUUCAGGAAACUGGGGCUAAUACCGGAUAGGAGCUCCUGCUGCAUGGUGGGGGUUGGAAAGUUUCGGCGGUUGGGGAUGGACUCGCGGCUUAUCAGCUUGUUGGUGGGGUAGUGGCUUACCAAGGCUUUGACGGGUAGCCGGCCUGAGAGGGUGACCGGCCACAUUGGGACUAAGAUACGGCCCAGACGCCUACGGGAGGCAGCAGUGGGGAAUAUUGCGCAAUGGGCGGAAGCCUGAUGCAGCAACGCCGCGUGCGGGAUGACGGCCUUCGGGUUGUAAACCGCUUUCGCCUGUGACGAAGCGUGAGUGACGGUAAUGGGUAAAGAAGCACCGGCUAACUACGUG